GGGACCUGCCAAUUUGAGAGAUCACCUCUAUCUCCAUAGGCUGUUCCUUGAGCUGAAAUCAGUAGAGAUGCUAGAUUUUGAACAUGCUGGCAGGUUGCCCUGGUUUUGGAAUUGAUACCACUUCAUGAUCCAAACUGGACUGAAACUCUUCACUGGCAGGUAUGCUGCAGUCCAUCUAGCAUGAGGAAGUAUUUGAGACAGGUUGAGAUACACUGCCAGAAAUUGAUUUGGUGCCACUGUUGGAUCUAAGGAGCUAAAAAUAGUGGACUGUUAACUUGCUUCUAACUCGGUCUGCACUGCAAAAAAGGCUUCAAGCUUUGCCAAUAGCUUGGGAGUGGCCUCUGAAGUCAAUGAAAACCACAGAGAAACAGAGCAUGAUGUGCAUUUACUGGUGCUGGUGUGACCCUGGAUCAAGAAAUCUGGGAAAGUUAAAAUGGAACUGAGGCACUUGGAGUGGAGGAAGAAGAUAGUCUCAAAGAACUUUCUGGUCAGAAGUCUAAGAAACCGCUUGUGCCUAGUACUGUCACCCUCAGCAUGUUUUCUUAUGCAGGAAAGAGGAUGGGAAGAAGCAUUUUCCAACUGUAAUCUACACCAAGGAAAUGGAGCAAAGGAAAAAGAGAUAUUAAGUGACGCUGACCUCAUUUACUGCCACAUAGUAUCGCUGCUUCUGAAAAUGAGGGGAGUUAUCAUUCCUGUCUCUCACCACAAUCCGUACUUCAUGGUAGAUAACGGUGCCAACUUUUUUGUUAAUGCACUGGACUUGAACCACAAUGGAUUGAAUUGACAUUGGUGGCUGUAAAUGAGAAAACACAUCUUUAUAAUACACAGAAAGGUGAGGCAUAGUUAAAGAAGACUCAACUUCUUCACCACAGUCAAUAUGGCCUAUGUUUACUAUAGACAAAUAUGUUUUCUAUAUCAUUCUAUUUACUGUUAUUGUACAUUUCUCGAUUAGAAAGUUUCUCAGAGACAGUGCCCUGAACAAACCA